AGGGAUCCAGAUUCGAUAAAAUACACAUGCACCUAAAAACCUGCAAAUCUCUGUUAAAGAAUCACAAUCCUCUUUCAUCCUUCCAAUUGCAUCAACUUUAGUCGGAUUUGGUUUUCUUCCGUAAGAUCCACAUAAAUGUCUAACAAUCACAACCUCUCGUACUCCAAAUACGGACUUCAUACCCGAUAAUGUAAGAUGAACUUCUCCAAGCCGAGUUAAAAUCUUUUCACAAUCUU
rnacentral:lncRNA from 1 species